rnacentral:rRNA from 1 species
UGUUUGAUGUUCUAACGUGGACCCGUGAUCCGGGUUGCGGACAGUGUCUGGUGGGUAGUUUGACUGGGGCGGUCUCCUCCUAAAGAGUAACGGAGGAGCACGAAGGUUGGCUAAUCCUGGUCGGACAUCAGGAGGUUAGUGCAAUGGCAUAAGCCAGCUUGACUGCGAGCGUGACGGCGCGAGCAGGUGCGAAAGCAGGUCAUAGUGAUCCGGUGGUUCUGAAUGGAAGGGCCAUCGCUCAACGGAUAAAAGGUACUCCGGGGAUAACAGGCUGAUACCGCCCAAGAGUUCAUAUCGACGGCGGUGUUUGGCACCUCGAUGUCGGCUCAUCACAUCCUGGGGCUGAAGUAGGUCCCAAGGGUAUGGCUGUUCGCCAUUUAAAGUGGUACGCGAGCUGGGUUUAGAACGUCGUGAGACAGUUCGGUCCCUAUCUGCCGUGGGCGCUGGAGAACUGAGGGGGGCUGCUCCUAGUACGAGAGGACCGGAGUGGACGCAUCACUGGUGUUCGGGUUGUCAUGCCAAUGGCACUGCCCGGUAGCUAAAUGCGGAAGAGAUAAGUGCUGAAAGCAUCUAAGCACGAAACUUGCCCCGAGAUGAGUUCUCCCUGACCCUUUAAGGGUCCUGAAGGAACGUUGAAGACGACGACGUUGAUAGGCCGGGUGUGUAAGCGCAGCGAUGCGUUGAGCUAACCGGUACUA